AAAGCGUGCGCAGGCGGUUGUGCAAGUCUGAUGUGAAAGCCCCGGGCUUAACCUGGGAACGGCAUUGGAGACUGCACGACUAGAGUGCGUCAGAGGGGGGUAGAAUUCCACGUGUAGCAGUGAAAUGCGUAGAGAUGUGGAGGAAUACCGAUGGCGAAGGCAGCCCCCUGGGAUGACACUGACGCUCAUGCACGAAAGCGUGGGGAGCAAACAGGAUUAUAUACCCCUGU
rnacentral:rRNA from 1 species